rnacentral:rRNA from 1 species
UACGGAGGGUGCAAGCGUUAUCCGGAUUCACUGGGUUUAAAGGGUGCGUAGGUGGGCAGGUAAGUCAGUGGUGAAAUCUCCGGGCUUAACCCGGAAACUGCCAUUGAUACUAUCUGUCUUGAAUACCGUGGAGGUGAGCGGAAUAUGUCAUGUAGCGGUGAAAUGCUUAGAUAUGACAUAGAACACCAAUUGCGAAGGCAGCUCACUACGCGAAUAUUGACACUGAGGCACGAAAGCGUGGGGAUCAAACAGGAUUAGAUGACCC